rnacentral:rRNA from 1 species
GUGGGGAAUCUUGCGCAAUGGGCGAAAGCCUGACGCAGCCAUGCCGCGUGAAUGAUGAAGGUCUUAGGAUUGUAAAAUUCUUUCACCGGGGACGAUAAUGACGGUACCCGGAGAAGAAGCUCCGGCUAACUUCGUGCCAGCAGCCGCGGUAAUACGAAGGGGGCUAGCGUUGCUCGGAAUUACUGGGCGUAAAGGGCGCGUAGGCGGACAGCUUAGUCAGAGGUGAAAGCCCAGGGCUCAACCUUGGAAUUGCCUUUGAUACUGGCUGUCUUGAGUUUGGGAGAGGAGAGUGGAACUCCGAGUGUAGAGGUGAAAUUCGUAGAUAUUCGGAAGAACACCAGUGGCGAAGGCGACUCACUGGCCCAAUACUGACGCUGAGGCGCGAAAGCGUGGGGAGCAAACAGGUUUAGAUACCCUUGUAGUCC